CGUCCACUGAUCAUUUCUGUCACUCCAACCUUCUCCAUGGUAAGAAUGAAGAACAUUAUUUAAGUGACACUCCAAAGAUGAAGUGUUCUCCAGUCUUCGUGACUGUAGUACUCUUAAUACUUGGACAAACCCAUGGAGACUCAGUGACUCAGAUGGAGAGCCAAGUGACCCUCUCAGAAGAGGCUUCCCUGAAUAUCAACUGUACUUAUACAACAAGUUAUCCCACUCUUUUCUGGUAUGUCCAGUAUCCAGGAGAAGGAAUAGAGCUCCUCCUGAAAGCCUCAAGGGACAAGGAGAAGGGAAGCAACAAAGGAUUUGAAGCCACCUAUGAUGGAGAUUCCAAAUCCUUCCACUUGGAGAAAGGCUCAGUGCAAGCUUCAGAUUCAGCUGUGUACUACUGUGCCAUGAACGACACAGUAAGGGGAACUGCAGGGGGAGUGGAGCACAAACUCUGA